GCAGCUGCUGGCGCUGUCGGGUCGCCUGGAGGCGGAGCUGCGCGCGGUGCGGGAGGAGAGCGGGGAGCUGCGGCUGCGGCUGCAGCUGCAGCAGCAGAAGCACCGCGACGUCGUGGCCGUUUAUCGGAUGCUGCUCCUGAGUGCAGCGCAGGGCUCCCUGGAUGAAGCUGCCCACCAGCUGCUGCUGCACAUCGCGGCGCUGAGCUGAGCGCCACUGCGUGGGGACGGGGAGACGUC